UAGGCGGGAUUUCAAUUCUCUUGCUCCUCCUUCUCUUUGAAACCGCGGCUUUAUAUCUUAGGAAAUCAUAAAUUUCUCUCAAUUUCUCUUCUCAAUCAAAUCCCUAUUUCCUAAAUUACGAAAUCCUUUUCUUUCACAUUUUGUUUUCAAAUCAAAAACCCUAGAUAAUGCACGAUCUCCUUUAACAAUUGAGUUUCAAGAUUCAUGGAUAUCUGCAUCUUCGAUCGCUAUUAGAAGCAACCAUCCCUUUAAUAGUCUUUGCUUUUCUAUCUCAAAAACCCUAGAUAUCGUCAUCUUCUAUCGCGAUUGGAAGCAACCAGAUUAGGUAAUUGGUCCUAGAAAUGUUUUGGUGGCAAUUUGAGAUCGGGAGUUAAUAUGUACUGACUGAUAUAAAAGUAUGAUGAUGAAACUUAAAGUGGUGAAGUUUGACCCUUUCUUUUCACACCUUAAUCAGCAAACAAGAAAAGUUCUGCAACAAAAGGGAAAUCACAACCAAUGAAAUGGGCAAUGAGGUUACAAGUGGUGUUACAUUUAGUCGAAGCUCUUGAAUUUUGAACAAAUAAAGGGGGUGCUUUUUAUCACGAUCUCAAUGCCUAUAGAAUUUUGUUUGAUGAGGAAGGUAAUCCUUGACUUUCGUGCUUUGGCUUGAUGAAGAAUAACCUGGAUGGAAAAAGUUAUAGCACGAAUCUUGCUUUCACUCCUCCCAUGUAUCUGUAUCUGAGGACAGAAAUUUGUUUCCAUCCUAUAGGAAGAGUAACGUCUGAAAGCAUGAUAUAUAGCCUUGGGAGUCUUUUGAUUGACCUUCUUAGCGGGAAGCACAUUCCGCGAAGCCAUCUAAGAAUACGCCUCCACUCUCCCCAUCACCGAUGAUAGUAAAAAUAAGGAUAAUUUAGUGGAAUCAUCCUUGAAACAAAUAUCAUCAGUUCCAACACUUAAUAUGGCUUCAUUUCCUGUUACCAUGAAUAAUCGAACUCCGUUUGACGGUAUAACUUUUGAAGGAUUAAGUGGUUCAGUAUGGCACUUACUUGAAUAAAACAACCAAGUUCUCGGUUAGAUUAAAUGUUUUAUAGCUAGAUUUAUGAAAAUGUUCGAAAGCUUUUCUCCCUGUGAUCGGCUAUGUAUGACACUCUGCUGCUACUUAUGAUGCAAACACUAAAAGUGGAGGUCCUUUCAGUACCAUGAGGUACAAGGCUGAGCUAAGCCAUGGUGCCAACAACGGUCAUAUUUGUGCAUUUA